GUCGCUUCCCUCGGCGGCCGACGCUAGCUAGCGGAGCCAGGCCAGAGGAGCCUCAGUUUGCCUUUCAGGCGUGAUCCAGAUGACAGUCUUCCCAGGAGCACCAGCCUCUCUCCUUCAGGCGAACCACUGAACCACUACGGCCGGCGCCACCCGAACUUGGAGCCAUAACUCAAAAAGACGAGGCAGGAGAACCAGAAACAAUAGCAGUCUGACUUGGCGCACACCUGCCACGGAAGCAGAGGGAAGGAGCCGUGGCCAUCGUGAAGUGAAGCGACGGAGACAGGAAGCAGAGUAGCAACAUAGCAACAUCAGUAGCAAUCUAACAUACGUAAUAACUACUCUAAAUGAAACUGAGAAUGGGAGGAAAUUAUAGACGAAAAAACACUAUCAUUCAUGCACUGGGAAGGAGAGAAAAGAGCAGCAACAAUAAAGGA